rnacentral:rRNA from 1 species
GAGUUUGAUCGUGGCUCAGGAUGAACGCUGGCGGCGUGCCUAACACAUGCAAGUCGAACGGAGUUUAUGAGGAAGAAGCUUCGGCGGAAUUCUUAUAAACUUAGUGGCGGACGGGUGAGUAACACGUGGAGAACCUGCCUCUUACCGGGGGACAGCAGUUGGAAACGACUGAUAAUACCGCAUAAGCGCACGAGACCGCAUGGUCCUGUGUGAAAAGAUUUAUCGGUAAGAGAUGGCCCCGCGUCUGAUUAGCCAGUUGGCGGGGUAACGGCCCACCAAAGCGACGAUCAGUAGCCGGCCUGAGAGGGUGAACGGCCACAUUGGGACUGAGACACGGCCCAGACUCCUACGGGAGGCAGCAGUGGGGGAGUAUUGCACAAUGGAGGAAACUCUGAUGCAGCGACGCCGCGUGAGUGAAGAAGUAUUCGGUAUGUAAAGCUCUAUCAGCA